CGCUUUCCGACUUGAAAGUUUUGCCUGUACAUACAUGCGCGCACAUCCACGAGACAGCCGUCAGUUCUUGGCUUCUUGCGUGCCGCCGUUGAUCGCCAUGGCCCGGCGGCGGGUCCGGACCUGGGCUGCAGCCGUCGCCACGGGUGUGCUCGUCGUCGUCGUCGCUGCUGCCGCCUCUGCGGCGGCCGUGGUAGUCGAGGAGAAGCUGAUGGUGGAAAUGGCUCUCGUCCCGGGCGCCGCGUCGACGGGAGCAGUGUGCCUCGACGGGAGCCCGCCGGCGUACCACCUCCACCAGGGCUCCGGCGCUCGCGGCUGGCUGCUCCAGUUCGAGGGCGGCGGUUGGUGCAACGACGCGCGGUCGUGCGCCGGGAGAGCCCGCACGUCCCUAGGUUCCAGAAGCCUCAUGAACAAGCUCGAGACGUUCUCCGGAUUGCUCAGCAACGAUCCCGCCAUGAACCCAGAUUUUUACAACUGGAAUCGAGUGAAAAUGCGAUACUGCGACGGCGGCUCCUUUGCGGGCGAUUCAGAGUUCAAAAAUGGUUCUUCAGUCAUGUACAUGAGAGACCAGAGGAUAUGGGAUGCAAUCAUCACCGAUUUGUUCCUGAAAGGUCUUGCGAAAGCCGAAAAGGUGCUGCUCUCAGGCUGCUCAGCAGGAGGUCUAGCUACGUUCUUCCACUGCGACGACCUCGAGAAGCGUCUCCGAGGUGUUGCCACGGUGAAAUGCAUGAGCGACGCAGGGUUUUUCCUUGAUGUGGACGAAUUUCCGGCCACGGCACCGUCAGGUCUUUCUUUAACGGGGUAGUCGAUUUCCAGGGGGUUCAGAAGAAUUUGAACAAAAACUGUUCGGAUUCAACAGUAAAAUCUUAUCAGUGCUUUUUCCCGCAAUAUGUGCUUCGGAGCAUUAGAGCCCCCUAUUUCAUCUUGAAUUCAGCUUACAGCGUAUAUCAGUUUUUUCAAAAUUUUGUGCCUCCUUCGUCUGAUCCUAGAGGUCAAUGGAGUCGCUGUAAGGCGGCGCUCAGUGGAUGCAGCUCAUCCCAAAUUGCAACUCUCCAAGGUCUGAGAAGCGCAAUGUUAAUGGCUCUGAAACCGUUCGAAGGUGAAUCGAAGGUGGGAAUGUUCAUCAAUUCUUGCUUUUCACAUUGCCAGAGCGAGUCUCAGGACACAUGGUUUGCACCAAAUUCCCCAAGACUACAUGACAAGACAAUUGCGAAGCUUGUUGGUGAUUGGUUCUUUGAAAGGGGUGCCGCCCAAGAAGUCGACUGCCCCUAUCCUUGUGACUCGACUUGCCACAACAUUAUACCAUUUAGUUAGGUUAGGCCACUGAGUUCUAGGGUUUAUGCAUUCGUGAGUGGCUAGAAAUUCUAUACAAAAUUCAUAGAUAUGCAUCUUGUUAAAACUUGUGCACUUGUAAUUCAUGAGAUAAUAUGAUC
rnacentral:rRNA from 1 species